rnacentral:rRNA from 1 species
AGAACGAACGCUGGCGGCAUGCCUAACACAUGCAAGUCGAACGCUCAUCCGGCUUCGGCCGGAUGGGAGUGGCGCACGGGUGAGUAGCGCGUGGGAACCUGCCCUGUUGUGGGGGAUAACCGAGGGAAACUUCGGCUAAUACCGCAUGCGCCCCGGCGAAAGCCGGGGGAAAGAUUUAUCGCAGCAGGAGGGGCCCGCGUCGGAUUAGGUAGUUGGUGGGGUAACGGCCCACCAAGCCGAUGAUCCGUAGCUGGUCUGAGAGGAUGAUCAGCCACACUGGGACUGAGACACGGCCCAGACUCCUACGGGAGGCAGCAGUGGGGAAUAUUGGACAAUGGGGGCAACCCUGAUCCAGCAAUGCCGCGUGAGUGAUGAAGGCCUUAGGGUUGUAAAGCUCUUUCGCCCGCGACGAUGAUGACGGUAGCGGGAGAAGAACGCCCCGGACUAACGUUCGUGCCAGCAGCCGC